AUGGAAGGGAUUGGGCAGAAGAGGCGCCCGCUGGUGGUGAUGGCCUCCUCGUCGACUACGGCGGCGCAGUCGGCGUCGCGGGGUGGGGCCAACCCGCUGGCCGAGCUGACCGACCGUUUCAGGUCGCUGGAGGUCGGGGUGCGCGAGUGGAUGGCGAAGCAGCCCACCCACAUCGAGGCCGCCGUCACCACGGCGUUUGGGGCUGUGCAGGGCGGCGCGCUCGGCGGGCUCAUGGGCACGUUUGCGCCGGAAGGAGGGGCGGGGCUCCCCGUGCCGCAGCCGCCUCCCGGUCUCGACCCCAAGGCCAUGGCCACCUUCAAGCAAGCGCAGGCUUUGGCAGGUGGGCCACUGGUGCAAGCUCGAAAUUUUGCAGUUAUGACUGGUGCAAAUGCAGGCAUAUCUUGUGUUAUGAGAAGGGUACGAGGAGUGGAGGAUGUCCAGGGCAGCAUGGCAGCAGCUUUUGGUUCGGGCGCUCUAUUCUCCAUUGUGAGUGGAAUGGGAACCCCAAAUCCAGUUGUUAAUGCAAUUACAACUGGUAUGGCUUUUGCAGUAUUUCAAGGUGGCUUUUUCAUUGUUGGACAGAAAUUCUCGAAGACAAAGACACAUAAUGAAGAUAUGAACUAUUCUCGUGCAAGAAAUAUGUUGAACCAAUUAGGCCUCCAAAACUAUGAGAAGAAUUUCAAGAAGGGUCUUCUGACUGAUGAAACAUUGCCUCUUCUCAAUGAAAGCGCACUCAGGGAUGUGAAUAUCCCCCCUGGUCCAAGACUUGUCAUACUUGAGCACAUUAGAAGAGAACCUGGGUUGACCAAAUCAAACUGA
rnacentral:rRNA from 1 species